CCAGUUCGGAUCGCAGGCUGCAACCCGCCUGCGUGAAGUUGGAAUCGCUAGUAAUCGCGGAUCAGCAUGCCGCGGUGAAUACGUUCCCGGGCCUUGUACACACCGCCCGUCACACCAUGAGAGUCGGGAACACCGAAGUCCGUAGUCUAACCGCGAAGGGGGACGCGGCCGAAGGUGGGUUCGAUAAUUGGGGUGAAGUCGUAACAAGGUAUC
rnacentral:rRNA from 1 species